rnacentral:rRNA from 1 species
AGCGAACGCUGGCGGCAGGCCUAACACAUGCAAGUCGAACGAAGUCUUCGGACUUAGUGGCGGACGGGUGAGUAACACGUGGGAACGUGCCUUUAGGUUCGGAAUAACACAGGGAAACUUGUGCUAAUACCGAAUGUGCCCUUCGGGGGAAAGAUUUAUCGCCUUUAGAGCGGCCCGCGUCUGAUUAGCUAGUUGGUGAGGUAAAGGCUCACCAAGGCGACGAUCAGUAGCUGGUCUGAGAGGAUGAUCAGCCACAUUGGGACUGAGACACGGCCCAAACUCCUACGGGAGGCAGCAGUGGGGAAUCUUGCGCAACGGGCGAAAGCCUGACGCAGCCAUGCCGCGUGAAUGAUGAAGGUCUUAGGAUUGUAAAAUUCUUUCACCGGGGACGAUAAUGACGGUACCCGGAGAAGAAGCCCCGGCUAACUUCGUGCCAGCCGCCGCUGUAAAAC